rnacentral:rRNA from 1 species
AACGAACGCUGGCGGCAUGCCUAAUACAUGCAAGUCGAACGAUCACUUCGGUGAUAGUGGCGCACGGGUGCGUAACGCGUGGGAAUCUGCCCGUGGUUUCGGAAUAACAGCUGGAAACGGCUGCUAAUACCGGAUGAUGACGUAAGCCCAAAGAUUGAUCGCCCAGGGAUUAGGCCGCGUCGGUUUAGGUAGUUGGUGGGGUAAAGGCCAACCAAGCCUUCGAUCCUUAGCUGGUCUGAGAGGAUGGUCCGCCACACUGAGACUGAAACACGGCCCAGCCUCCUACCGAAGGCAGCAGUAGGGAAUAUUGGACAAAGGGGGCAACCCUGAUCGAGCAAUGCCCCGUGAGUGCUGAAGGCCUAAGGGUUGUAAAGCUCUUUUACCCGGGGUGAUAAUGACAGUAGCGAGAGAAUAAGCCCCGGCUAACUCCGUGCCAGCAGCCGCGGUAA